rnacentral:pre_miRNA from 1 species
ACUGCUGCCCUGAUAGUCGGCUCUGAGUUGGAGGCCAGCUUCCAUGGCAGCAUCGU